rfam:Sorghum bicolor cultivar BTx623 chromosome 8, whole genome shotgun sequence.
GUAGUCGGAUUCGCAUCAAUCCACAUGUGUUGGAGUGAAUUGGACUUGAACUAAAUUACACCUCAAUCCACUCCAACACAUGUGGAUUGAGGUGAAUCCGACA